GCCUGGGUGGCUCAGUCCGGUGAGCGUCUGACUUCAGCUCAGAUCAUGCCCCUGUCAUGGUCUCGAAGUUCGUGAGUUCGAGCCUCACGUUGAGCU
rnacentral:tRNA from 1 species